UGAGGAAUAUUGGUCAAUGGGGGCAACCCUGAACCAGCCAAGUCGCGUGAAGGAUGAAGGUCUUAUGGAUUGUAAACUUCUUUUAUACAGGAAUAAAUUGGGGGACGUGUCCCCUUUUGCAUGUACUGUAUGAAUACGGAUCGGCUAACUCCGUGCCAGCAGCCGCGGUAAUACGGAGGAUCCGAGCGUUAUCCGGAUUUAUUGGGUUUAAAGGGUGCGCAGGCGGGAUGUUAAGUCGGCGGUGAAAUUUUGCAGCUCAACUGUAAAAGUGCCUUCGAUACUGGCUUCCUUGAGUGUAGAUGAAGUAGGCGGAAUUUGUGGUGUAGCGGUGAAAUGCUUAGAUAUCACGAGGAACUCCGAUUGCGCAGGCAGCUUACUAAACUACAACUGACGCUCAUGCACGAAGGCGUGGGGAUCAAACA
rnacentral:rRNA from 1 species